rnacentral:misc_RNA from 1 species
AAUUGCAAUCCCUCUGCCAGUGGGGUGAGUCCUGUGUGCAAUGCUUUACUUGAAUUCCAUUGCCCUUAAUUGGUUUUUCUGUUCUCCCCUUUUAGGCCCCGUUUGAUUCGUCAAAAAUUGACCUAGGAAUGUGAAUGAAUUGAUUUCAUUCCUUUUAUUGGUGUUUGAAAACUCAUUUUUUUUCAUUUCCAUUCCCACAAAAUAGGAAAG